rnacentral:rRNA from 1 species
AUCCAGACUCCUACGGGAGGCAGCAGUGGGGAAUAUUGCACAAUGGGGGAAACCCUGAUGCAGCGACGCCGCGUGGGUGACGAAGUAUUUCGGUAUGUAAAGCCAUAUCAGCAGGGAAGAAGAUGACAGUACCUGACUAAGAAGCCCCGGCUAACUACGUGCCAGCAGCCGCGGUAAUACGUAGGGGGCAAGCGUUAUCCGGAUUUACUGGGUGUAAAGGGAGCGUAGACGGCAAUACAAGUCGGAAGUGAAAUACCCGGGCUCAACCUGGGAACUGCUUUGGAAACUGUAUGGCUAGAGUGCUGGAGAGGUAAGCGGAAUUCCUAGUGUAGCGGUGAAAUGCGUAGAUAUUAGGAGGAACACCAGUGGUGAAGGCGGCUUACUGGACAGUAACUGACGUUGAGGCUCGAAAGCGUGGGGAGCAAACAGGAUUAGAUACCCGCGUA